rnacentral:lncRNA from 1 species
AGUCGUUCAUCUCUUUGCUGUGACUUCCUGCUCUGUGUCAAGAGCGGUACGACAUCUGUCCUCGAGCUGGUUACAACACACAACACAGGCCCUGCAUCAGAGCACACAGACACUGGAGUCUGACGGACAGGUGACAACACACAAGCAAGACAAACAGAGAUCUGGGACAGACAACCUGAGCCCUGUGCAGCUUUCUCAGGGUAGGAGAUGGAAUUCGCCUGCAGUCAUGUGGUGUGUAACUGGCAGCCAGUGUCAGAUGUUCCAGCUCUGUACGCUGCUGUGCCCAGUGGCUCUUACUCCAGCUGGGAUGGGUCUACCCAGUCUGCUGCACAAGGGCCCAGCUCCUCCAGUUAUCGAGACUAUCAUGACUAUGACAACCGCAUUGCUGUCAUCCCCCGCAGUCACCAGGGCUACCAGGAUGGUAAUGUUCCUCUCCGUCACACUAUCUAUCUCUCACUCUCUAAUACUCUUUCAUUGAA